GGAGCAGAGCUCAGUGGUAGAGCACAUGCUUAACAUGCAUGAGGUCAUGGGUUCGAUCCCCAGCACCUCCA
rnacentral:tRNA from 1 species